rnacentral:rRNA from 1 species
GACGGGACCCCGCACAAGCGGUGGAUCAUGUUGUUUAAUUCGAUGAUACGCGAAGAACCUUACCAGGUCUUGACAUCCCCCGCGAUGCUUUAGAGAUAAAGCGGAGGUAUUCGGGGAGACAGGUGCUGCAUGGCUGUCGUCAGCUCGUGUCGUGAGAUGUUGGGUUAAGUCCCGCAACGAGCGCAACCCUUGCCUUUAGUUGCCAGCAGUUCGGCUGGGCACUCUAAAGGGACUGCCGGUGUUAAACCGGAGGAAGGUGGGGAUGACGUCAAGUCCUCAUGGCCUUUAUGACCAGGGCUACACACGUACUACAAUGGCCGAUACAAAGGGCAGCGACACUGCGAGGUGAAGCCAAUCCCGUAAAAUCGGUCUCAGUCCGGAUUGGAGUCUGCAACUCGACUCCAUGAAGUUGGAAUCGCUAGUAAUCGUGGAUCAGCAUGCCACGGUGAAUACGUUCCCGGGCCUU